GACGAACGCUGGCGGCGUGCCUAACACAUGCAAGUCGAACGGAACUGUUUUGAAAGAUUUCUUCGGAAUGAAUUUGAUUUAGUUUAGUGGCGGACGGGUGAGUAACGCGUGAGUAACCUGCCUUCAAGAGGGGGAUAACAUUCUGAAAAGAAUGCUAAUACCGCAUGACAUAUCGGAAUCACAUGAUUUUGAUAUCAAAGAUUUUAUCGCUUGAAGAUGGACUCGCGUCCGAUUAGUUUGUUGGUGAGGUAACGGCUCACCAAGACCGCGAUCGGUAGCCGGACUGAGAGGUUGAACGGCCACAUUGGGACUGAGACACGGCCCAGACUCCUACGGGAGGCAGCAGUGGGGGAUAUUGCGCAAUGGGGGCAACCCUGACGCAGCAACGCCGCGUGAAGGAUGAAGGUUUUCGGAUUGUAAACUUCUUUUAUUAAGGACGAAAAAUGACGGUACUUAAUGAAUAAGCU
rnacentral:rRNA from 1 species